CUCUCGGUAGCCAAGUUGGUUUAAGGCGCAAGACUGUAAAUCUUGAGAUCGGGCGUUCGACUCGCCCCCGGGAGAC
rnacentral:tRNA from 1 species